rnacentral:rRNA from 1 species
UACGUAGGGUGCGAGCGUUAAUCGGAAUUACUGGGCGUAAAGCGUGCGUAGGCGGUUCGUUAAGUUCGUCGUGAAAGCCCCGGGCUCAACCUGGGAAUGGCGAUGGAAACUGGCGGGCUUGAGUAUGGCAGAGGGGGGUGGAAUUCCGCGUGUAGCAGUGAAAUGCGUAGAGAUGCGGAGGAACACCGAUGGCGAAGGCAGCCCCCUGGGCCAAUACUGACGCUCAGGCACGAAAGCGUGGGGAGCAAACAGG